UACGGAGGGUGCGAGCGUUAUCCGGAUUCACUGGGUUUAAAGGGUGCGUAGGUGGGCAGGUAAGUCAGUGGUGAAAUCUCCGGGCUUAACCCGGAAACUGCCAUUGAUACUAUCAGUCUUGAAUACCGUGGAGGUAAGCGGAAUAUGUCAUGUAGCGGUGAAAUGCUUAGAUAUGACAUAGAACACCAAUUGCGAAGGCAGCUUACUACCCGAAUAUUGACACUGAGGCACGAAAGCGUGGGGAGCGAACAGG
rnacentral:rRNA from 1 species